UUUCACCUGAUGCACUGACAAGUGGGGCCCGUAACUAGAUGCACUGCCAAGUAGGGCCCGCGCUUACGUGGAUAAGUUGUGGGUCCAGCCCCUAACAGCUAAUGAGGACAUCAGUUCAGAUUAAGGGUCAUGUCGUGUCUGGGAUAUUUCCUCGCUCAGAAGUGUCGCACCAAGGCAAUUCGGACGAAAGACGUCCCACUUCUUCCAAUUCACCUCAAAGAUGUCGCAUAGGAGCUAU
rnacentral:lncRNA from 1 species